CGUCACCCACCACUCUACCAGAUACCACCAGCGCCUCCUCCCUGCCACCGAACCCAUUUCCUCCACAUCCGCCGCAGGCUACAUACGCUGCCACCGCCGGCAACUCCUCGCCCGCCGACCGCCUCCCCGGAACCCCCUCUCUCUAUCCCACCGAUUGGAGCCACCCAAAUCGGGCACCCCCGGAGAAAGCCUCGUCCUUUUUCCUCCAUGGCGGGCGGCGGCGCGGCAGAGGAUGUUGGUGAGGCGGAGGGAACAUUGGGCGUCACCGGCGGAGGAGCAGGGGGUCUAAGAUGACGGUUGCACCCCUGUAGCGGGUGGUGGUCACCGGGGCGGCUCCGCGCGGGGCAGAUGAGUCCGGCCAGCGACCCUCCGAUGGCAGCAGCCACGGCGGAUGGUCGUGGUGGGGGACAGAGAGUUGGUUGCCUCCCCGCACAAGGGGAGCAACCAGUAGGAUCAGGCCUCGCGCGGGGCAGAUGUUCUCGACUCCGACAUUGGCAUCUGAAGAUGAUUCCAUUGGUUCAUGGUCUUUGUGCUCCUGCUCUAGCCUCCUCACUGUUCCAACCAAGACCUGAGAGGCGUGUGAGCACCUCUGACCCGGCAAAGCUGAUGAUCCGAGCAUGCUGCUGCUGCUGCUCCUUGCCUUCACCGACAGCCCUUCUUCUGCCAAAGGAGGAGAGGUUCCAGUUGGCAACAGAGGAGGCUGGAGAAGCACGAGGUUGCUUUGGCGGAGGUCUCUAGUUCGUGUACAUACAUGUUUAAGGUGAGCUUGUCUGGACGUGGCGGCGGUGUUUUUAUAUGUUUGGAAUGUUAAACCUGGAGGUGGAGUUGUUUGUAUCUGAAAAUAGAGGUUUUUUUUUUGUUAUAAUGUUGCUGGUUGUAAUCGUUGGAGCCGGUAGUAAUGAACAUGGUGUUGAUAACAAUAAUGGGGCGUGGCUCGUCUGCAGUAGCAUUAUUACUGUACCCAUACAGUAAUGAAAUUAUCAACCAUCCGAUCGCAUUUCCAACGACGUAGCCAGUCUUCUAUUUCCAGCAAAACCUGAUUAUCUUCUUCCUCUGCACGUAUCAGCCUAUCAGGCCGCCGUGCCGCGCUACUCAAUACAUCAGCGCGCAGCAGGCAACUAACCCAUGGAUUCACUGUCUGCGUCGCGCCGCCCGGGAUGCUGGCCACGGAUCUAAAACAGCAGGAGAUAGUGUGGUGCAGUCCAUGGCCCGCUGGUGUUCUGCUACGAGCAGAAAGACCCGUCAAUCCGUCAUCCUCCGGCGCAGACGUACUCCGGUCGAACUGCUCGAGCUGGGUGGUUGAGGCUUGAUUCCUUGUCGAGCUACCACUGCUGGCGGCUUAAUGCCUUGACGUGGUACUUUCCCAAGCGCCGCCGGAUGUCCGUCCCUCGUCGGAGCCGUGUGCUCCAUUCCUAGCGAUGGACAAUGGCAACGCACGACGAUGGCUACUGAUUGCAUGUUUGGUGCAACGAGAAAGAACAAGGGAAGAAGAACACAUUAAAAGGAGCGUUUGAGACUGCCGUUGGAUGUAACUGAAUGGUAGAUCAAGUACAUUACUGUACGGGUACAGUAAUAAUGCUACUGCAGACGAGCCACGCCCCAAUAAUGUAAAGCUUAAUGAUGAUAGUGCGGAAUGUUGCGAAAUUACUCAUGCUUCCGUUUCCACUGUCGUGAAAAUUCGGGAGAAGUUAAAGCUGUGGAUGGCGUCAUUCCUUGGUAUUCCCCGUGAAUCAAAUUCCCAAAAUAUCGGAAACACGGAUCGCUUAUCUGCGUUGCGGAAUUAAGGAAUGAUGAAUGAUGAUGACUUUAGACGGAGAGAUUUCAUGCAACAAGUAAACACGAUUUCAGGAGCAAGAAUGGAAAGUAAUUUCGCUGCAACAUCUCUACAUGCAAGAAUGGCUCCUUAAGAAUUGGGAAGGUUGGUUAUUGCGUUGCAUGGAGGAGGGAUAUACUCCAUGAAAAUUAAGUACAGUAACAAAUCACGCGCCUUGUUAGGGGGUUAGAAUGAUUUCCUAUCGAUGAAAAUUUUUAGGAGCAAGAAUGGAAAGUACUAUACUAGGAUGGAAUUAUCAGGCUCUUUCGGCGUCUCAAAAGUCCUCCCUUUUCUCCCCAACACCGCUCGUCGCUCGCCGCCGCAGCGCCCCGUCCCCAGCCUAUCCUCCGGCCGACCAAGUCCGUCGCGCAGUCAAUCCCGCCCACAAACGGAACCGUUGCCGGCCACCGUCGAUGCGGCCCGUCCCGGAUCCGGCGACCACCCUUCCGGCAAGACCCCGCAGCGGCUGGAGCUGGGGCGCCGCCGUCCCGCCGCCGCAGAUGUACAUUCUUGACGCGCGCGGCACCCGUGGGCGACCAACCACCAGCUGAUGCUGAAUCCAUCCGGCGCUGCAUCAAGACCUUCUCCACGGCGACCACGCGCGUCGACCUCACCCGCCACGGCAGGUAACCGGAAGCGGAUCAAGGACGGCCUACUGCAAGGGCAAUGAGAGCCCGACCGGCGUCCGGAGCUCCUCCUCCACGCAGAAGGGCUCGACCACUCAGACCUCUUCCGCCCACCAAAUGCCAGGUCACUUUAUCCUGCAUAUGGAGCUCAUGACUACAACCAUCAAAUGCCUCAGUCUGCUCCUCAAGCGGAACCUUAUGGUGACCAUCCUUCCACACACCAAUCAUGUUCAUACGACAUUUUCCUGCAGUCAAGUUCGGCUUGCAGCUCAUCUUACUUAAGUGUUCAUACUGCACCUCACUAGAAUUACCCUAUAAUGAUCAUCUUCACGUGUGUCAUGUGUGAUAGGGGCCUACCGAAGUUGAGAAGAAAGAGAUGGCGCCACGGUUGCUUUGGCGACUUCUGGUGACCUUGGCCGGCAGGAGGCCUUGGCCGGCAGGAGGGCCGCAGAAUCUUUUGUUGAUCACGGGGAUACGUGUUUUGUAGCUCAACAUUUUAGAAGCAAGACAGUCCUAAAGGUCACUUUAUCCUGCAUAUGGAGCUCAUGACUACAGCCAUCAAAUGCCUCAGUCUGCUCCUCAAGCGGAACCUUAUGGCGACAAUCUUCCACACAUCGAUCCGAGGGGCCUACCGAAGCUGAGAAGAAAGAGCUGGCGCCACGGUGGCUCUUGGCGACUUUUGGUGACCUUGGCCGGCUUGGAGGCUUGAUGGCAGAGCUGCAGGCCUAGCUGGUCUGUCCCAAGUUUCACCUCAGUGAGCGCGACAAGAUCGAUGGGUUCAAGCUGGAUAGACGAUGGUUAUUGUUGCAAGAAAUAGAAAAGAAGACCUUAUCAGUGCAUCCCAUGCCCAUGAUUAUUCGUUGCUGCUGCUUCACCACACACCCAAGAGGAGCAGGUUCGGGAGAAAGAAAGGGACCCAAAAUAGAAACAAGGGAAAAUAGAAAGAUGAGACUCCAAUUUACCCCGGGCUGGUGGUCAUGUGAUGUAUGUGAUUGUCCAAGUCAUGUAUUCAAAAGUUUGCUCUUGGAUCCUAGCAUCUAGCUGCUUCAAACGGGACAAUGGAUAAAAUUGGUAAUAUUUUGGCCACAUAUUCAAGUUGGAAAUAUGUGCUACUGCAAAAUGUAUGUUAUGAGAAAUCUUUGCUUGAAAAUUUGCUGGUAUUAGAAAUUUCCCAACUUGUUCAUCUUCUAGUGCAUGCCAAAGGGUGUAUUACUAGCUGAGCCAAAGAAAGUCGAUGGCUGACGUGACUGUGGCCCAUGAUCCAUUGAAGGUCGUUGUGGCCGACUUAAAUUUUGUCUCAUGUGUUGCGGAUGAUUUAUUCCUUAUAUGACAGGAGCAUCCAAGCGGUUCAAGAAAAAAUAGUAGCACUACUCUCUCCAUACCGGAUUAGAAGGCAAUUAACCUGGCGCAGCGGGACCAAGGCAGAGGCUGAUUGGUUGAGAUUUGCUCCGUUAAUCCAUCUGCGGGAGUAAUUAGAGGAGCCGAACCAUCAUUUUAGUCCCACGUUUGUUACCUGCAUGGCUGAAAUCUCGCACAUGCAAAGAUCGAAUGCAGCGAGGCUACUCGGUUACUUCCAAACGCCAUGCAAAGAAAAGGGAAGGACCAGAGCAAAAAUAGGAAACUACCUCACGCUAUACAGUAAUUGAGGAGAUUUAAAUUCCGUUAAUUGUCUAAUAAUUUGGUUUGCCUUCUAAGGAGAAAAUUUCCUUGUAAUCCGGUAUGGAGGGAGUAGGGAGUAUAAGAUUGCCAUGCCAUAACAUGGCAAGGCCAUAACUAGGUAUGGAAACUCAAAGGGAGGGAGCCAUACCCACCAGAAAAUGAGGAAAUUAGUGAAGGAAGGUAACCAAGGAACUAAUUAAAGACAUGCCAUGCCGUAACACCCGGCCAUAACUAGGUGCUCUGACCCGGAAUAAUAGGACAACAUCAAAUCUGCCCAACAGAAAAUGAGGAAAUUAGUGAAGGAAGAUAACCAAGGAACUAAAGAUAUGCUAUGCCGUAACACCCGGCCAUAACUAGGUGCUCUGACCCGGAAUAAUAGGCCAACAUCAAAUCUUCCCACCAGAAAAUGAGGUGCCAACAACCAACUGGUAUCAGCGCAUGCAGUCCAUGUCACCGAUCCGCGUGAUACCUAUCUCAACCGUCCAUCAUUCCAUCAAGCAACAGUGCAAGAGAUGAGAGGGAUGCGAGAUGUCAUUUUGUUCCCGCUCAAAAUUUCCCCCAAGAUAUCAAACCUGGCUGGGUAGCCUCUAUAAGUAGAAGCCUUUCGCCACGGACCGCGGGCGGGGUGCGCGAAUGACUAUGACUUAGACUUUGACUCUUGCUCGGAGAGAAGAGGAGAGGACACACGCUGCCAUGGCUGGCGAAUGGAGAUGAUGGUGGCCACGUUCGGUGGCGGCAUGCAGAUCAGGGUCUCGGCGAGGCGAGGAUGGCAGGUCCCUCCCUCCGUCCGACCUCGUCUUGAGAUCCAGCAUGUAACCGAGAUGGCUCAUAUAUCUGUAUUUUCUUAAUUGGUUCGGUUCUUCCAUUUGUGAAUAGAUUGGUUUGUUCCUGGUUUCUCUUGGUUUUUUGGGUACGAGAAAUCAAAGCCCGGAUUCCUUUUCUUUUUUAAUUAGUUGCGUCUGGCAGCAGCGCGAGACGAGAAAGUCGGAUCGGGUCCAGGAGUUGUUUUAGACGCGGGAUUCUAGCUCCUUGUUCUUUUUUUUUCCUUCUUGGUACGAUACGGUUGCUGUCCAAUUCAUGGAGUUUGAUUUGCUUGCUGAAGGAUAUGCUGCUGCUUGAGGUGUGUAUAUGCUGCUGCUUGCUGAAGGAUGGCCCCGUAUUUAUAGACACAUCUCGAUCCCAGCGGGAAAAAAAGAUCAUGUUGGCCCUUGAAAUUCCAUACUAAUGACUUUUCCUAAGGAUUGUAAGCUUUGGCAGCUUCUAUGCAUUCGUACAUUUUGUCACUGAAAAUAUCGCUUCUGAGCAGACGUGAUGACUCAUUUUUCCACGGUUAGUCAAUAUGCAUGCAAGAGAAACGAAGCAGCUAGCAGUUGACGGGACGGGACGACCCAACAAAGCGACGACGACGACUGCUGGGUUAACUUAAUCGGGUCUCCGCCUCUCUGGUCCUCUUGCCACUCAGGAAAAUAUCCACUUGCCGGUAUUCACCAAAAUUAAAGAGAAUUUUCUAGAUAUGGGUACUUCGAUACUAAGGUACAUAUUUAUCCGAUCACUAAUUAAUUACAGCGGAGGGGAGAGUUCUUUUAGACUGUUCAUUUACAAUUUAUUAUUUUUGCCUAAGUUACAUACUUUCAAAUUUGGGUAUAAAAAAUAGCACGCGCAUAGAUACGUGCGUCCUCUACCUGCAACUUUUUUUAAAGAAUUUUUGGAGAGCUAGAAACAUAAAUUUAGAGGCUGGCAAGUUACAGAGUUCAUGUGUGCCCAUUUCCCGCCGGGGGGUGAAUGUGCGGACUGAGGGCCGGGGAAGAGGACCGGGAGCAGGGAGCAGGUGGAGGGAGUGAGGAAGGACCGGGAGGAGGUGCCAGAGAGUUGCGAUCGCAUGGUGAUCAACCGCCUGAGUACGCCGACUGAUCCAAAUCAAGGGAAAAAGAUUUAACAUUUAGCCCGGUUGAGUGGGUGGAGACGCGGGAGAGAGAACCCGAAGGAGGGAGCGAGGAAUCUGGAAGGAGAGAUGGAGCGCGAUGAGGCAUGUGGGAGCUGCGGGGCGUGGGCGCGGGCAUGGUGACCUGAGAUGGUGCCUCCUGUACCCGCAAUUUUUUUAAUUUUUGAAGCGCAAGAAACUAAAAUUCGGAGGCCGACAAGUUAUAUGGUUCAUGAGUACCCAUGUUUCGCUGCGUAUUUUCGGCAAAAUGAUGAAUUUUCAAGUUAUAUGCCGGGCUUCUAGCCUAGAGGCCAGAGGAAUACCAAUUCCACCCUGGUAGUUCAUUAAACCAAUUCCACCCUGGUAGUUCAUUAAACUUAGUUGUUUUUCCAUAACUCACUGACAAAAUCAUUUCAUAGCAUAGCUGAGCAACAACUAAAUUUAAUGGCGACAAAGAAGUCAAGUAGGGGUAGCUAGACUACUGGGAUUGCAUAGCAAGCAUAGGACCCUACACAUGUAUACUACAAAAAUUUCUACUGUGCAUAGAUAAAAACUGGGACUUUUGUGAUUGGUGUGUCACCUGCCUGGAUAAGGUGGAGACUUGGUACAAUCUUCACAAGCACACGUGUUGCAGUCGGCACAAUCACAAUCUACAAUCGGAAAACAAUGCACCAUAAGCAUGGCGCUAAACAUUGGCAUGCACAAACAGAAAACAUGAAUGCAAUAUGUAUCUUGAACAUGAUAACACCUCUUAGUUGUUCUCUGGUUGCUUACUACAUGCAUGAUGCCAUGGUCAAGUUUUAUGGUUGGUUGAAUUAUUGCUAACCAUCUAUGUCGCACUAGCGAAGGGUAACUACCAUUAGUUGUAAAAGAUAUUUUGGUAUAGUAGAUAAAUGUUGAUUUUGGUACUACUGGACAGAGGGUUCCAUUUGCAAGCAUGUGCAAAAAGAAUCACUCAAAAAUGAUGUGUAUUACUCAUUUUAUGGGUAAAGUACUGCAAUUAGGCAUUUAAAUAUGAAUGGUUUUUAAACUUCUGCAAGUUCAUAUUUUAUUGUUCCUUAAUGUUCCUUAUAUUUUUACGAUUCCAACGAUAUAUGAUUCGUGAUUUUUGGACAUACAGAUCUCUGGAUAUGAAUUUUGCAAAGCGCGGACUAUCGAAAAUCAAAUUAAACGAAAUCUAGGGUUGUGUCCAGGACAUGUGGCGCAACACGAUUGGUCUGUACCCCUUCGCCGCAGAUCAGCGUUAUAAGCCGUAGGAUCUAACUAACAUGUACGGCCUGGAUCUGUUGAUAGAAAAGGGAAAGAGAAAUAAAAGAAAAAAGGGGGACCUAUGUGGCGCAGAGGUGGCGGCUGACGAGGCGCUGACGUGGCGACGACGUGGAUGAUGACGUGGCCAGCGACGAGGAAG